UGCAGUCGAGCGCGGGAAGCAAGUGGAUCCCUUCGGGGUGAAGCUCGUGGAACGAGCGGCGGACGGGUGAGUAACACGUGGGCACCUGCCUGUAAGAUCGGAAUAACCCCGGGAAACCGGGGCUAAUGCCGGGUAAUACUUUCUUUCGCAUGAAGGAAAGUUGAAAGAUGGCUUCUCGCUAUCACUUACAGAUGGGCCCGCGGCGCAUUAGCUAGUUGGUGAGGUAACGGCUCACCAAGGCGACGAUGCGUAGCCGACCUGAGAGGGGACCAACCUAACUGGGACUGAGACACGGCCCAGACUCCUACGGGAGGCAGCAGUAGGGAAUCUUCCGCAAUGGACGAAAGUCUGACGGAGCAACGCCGCGUGAACGAUGAAGGUCUUCGGAUCGUAAAGUUCUGUUGUUAGGGAAGAACAAGUACCGUGCGAAUAGAGCGGUACCUUGACGGUACCUAACGAGGAAGCCCCGGCUAACUACGUGCCAGCAGCCGCGGUAAUACGUAGGGGGCAAGCGUUGUCCGGAAUUAUUGGGCGUAAAGCGCGCGCAGGCGGUUCCUUAAGUCUGAUGUGAAAGCCCACGGCUCAACCGUGGAGGGUCAUUGGAAACUGGGGAACUUGAGGACAGAAGAGGAGAGUGGAAUUCCACGUGUAGCGGUGAAAUGCGUAGAUAUGUGGAGGAACACCAGUGGCGAAGGCGACUCUCUGGUCUGUUUCUGACGCUGAGGUGCGAAAGCGUGGGUAGCAAACAGGAUUAGAUACCCUGGUAGUCCACGCCGUAAACGAUGAGUGCUAGGUGUUAGGGGGCUUCCACCCCUUAGUGCUGAAGUUAACGCAUUAAGCACUCCGCCUGG
rnacentral:rRNA from 1 species